rnacentral:sRNA from 1 species
GAUGACUGGGGAGCGGGAGCUCGAGAAUACUGCCCAAUUAUCUAGCGCGCCAGGCCGAACCGCAGCUUCUUGGCUUAGGUACUUCUACUCACAGCGGCCGAUUCCGAGGCCAACUCCAGCAAUGGCUUUUGCAAAUCUGCGGAAAGUGCUCAUCAGUGACAGCCUGGACCCUUGCUGCCGGAAGAUCUUGCAAGAUGGAGGGCUGCAGGUGGUGGAAAAGCAGAACCUUAGCAAAGAGGAGCUGAUAGCCGAGCUGCAGGACUGUGAAGGCCUUAUUGUUCGCUCUGCCACCAAGGUGACCGCUGAUGUCAUCAACGCAGCUGAGAAACUCCAGGUGGUGGGCAGGGCUGGCACAGGUGUGGACAAUGUGGAUCUGGAGGCCGCAACAAGGAAGGGCAUCUUGGUUAUGAACACCCCCAAUGGGAACAGCCUCAGUGCCGCAGAACUCACUUGUGGGAUGAUCAUGUGCCUGGCCAGGCAGAUUCCCCAGGCGACGGCUUCGAUGAAGGACGGCAAAUGGGAGCGGAAGAAGUUCAUGGGAACAGAGCUGAAUGGAAAGACCCUGGGAAUUCUUGGCCUGGGCAGGAUUGGGAGAGAGGUAGCUACCCGGAUGCAGUCCUUUGGGAUGAAGACUAUAGGAUAUGACCCCAUCAUUUCCCCAGAGGUCUCGGCCUCCUUUGGUGUUCAGCAGCUGCCCCUGGAGGAGAUCUGGCCUCUCUGUGAUUUCAUCACUGUGCACACUCCUCUCCUGCCCUCCACGACAGGCUUGCUGAAUGACAACACCUUUGCCCAGUGCAAGAAGGGGGUGCGUGUGGUGAACUGUGCCCGUGGAGGGAUCGUGGACGAAGGCGCCCUGCUCCGGGCCCUGCAGUCUGGCCAGUGUGCCGGGGCUGCACUGGACGUGUUUACGGAAGAGCCGCCACGGGACCGGGCCUUGGUGGACCAUGAGAAUGUCAUCAGCUGUCCCCACCUGGGUGCCAGCACCAAGGAGGCUCAGAGCCGCUGUGGGGAGGAAAUUGCUGUUCAGUUCGUGGACAUGGUGAAGGGGAAAUCUCUCACGGGGGUUGUGAAUGCCCAGGCCCUUACCAGUGCCUUCUCUCCACACACCAAGCCUUGGAUUGGUCUGGCAGAAGCUCUCGGGACACUGAUGCGAGCCUGGGCUGGGUCCCCCAAAGGGACCAUCCAGGUGAUAACACAGGGAACAUCCCUGAAGAAUGCUGGGAACUGCCUAAGCCCCGCAGUCAUUGUCGGCCUCCUGAAAGAGGCUUCCAAGCAGGCGGAUGUGAACUUGGUGAACGCUAAGCUGCUGGUGAAAGAGGCUGGCCUCAAUGUGCGCCCCUCUCCCCCACGCUGCCUCCCCAUCCCUGUCAGCACUAGUCUUCUCCCCCACAUUUCCAGAGCCCGUUCUCUGAGCGGAGGCCUAGGUCCCAGCCUUGCAUCGGCCUGUCUACCUGUGAGGGGUAGCUGCAGUUUCUUCAUCUGCAAAAUGAAGAUACUGCCUGGCCCCGAGUGUUGCUAAUGGCACUGCUUUGUGUAUGAGUGCUGUGGGAAUGGAGGCAGUAGAAGUGUCCCCAUUUCACAGCCAAAGAAAAUGACGAGCUAGUGUCUUUGACUCUGCCCGACAUGGCUGCCAGGCCGUGUUUGACUCUGCCUAACUCCCCUCAGGGCUCCUCAUGCCGUAGCACCCGGGUUCUUGAUUCACUUGCAAGCUCUAGGAGCCCUGCUGCCUUGCACGGCUUCCCGUUGGCGCCUUCCUCUCUGGUUCCCUGUUUAGAUCAAAGUCUGUUUCAAAGCCUGUUGCUCAGCCAGUGGGAGCUGGCAGAAGGGAUAGGCAGUAGAGCUGCCAUGUCCUCACCCCUCUGCUCCCCUCCACUCCUGCAUGCCAGUCAUGCCACUGAUGCCGUGCAGGAGGCUGUGUCAGAGCAGGAGGGGCCAGAGUGGAGUCUCCUCACAGCCCUGCCUCCCUGCUUUUCUUUCCUCCCUGUUUUCCUCCAAGCCUUCGCCUGUGCCUGGCAGAUCUCUUUGCCCUCCCUUUAAGGAGAUCAUUGGCUGUUCCAGGAAGCUGAUGCCGAAGGGCACACAGCUUGGCCCAUUUGCCCUCUCCCUUCUGGUCCUGAAUUACUGAGCACAUUAUCCAGGCUGGAGCCCUACAUCCUACCAAUGGGUGAUUUGGCCAAGAGAGGAGGGUGGACGUGGUGCAGCCAGGAGGUGUAACAGUCGCCUUGCCUUCUCCACACAGGUCACCACCUCCCACAGCCCUGCUGCACCAGGGGAGCAAGGCUUCGGGGAAUGCCUCCUGGCCGUGGCCCUGGCAGGCGCCCCUUACCAGGCUGUGGGCUUGGUCCAAGGCACUACACCUGUACUGCAGGGGCUCAAUGGAGCUGUCUUCAGGCCAGAAGUGCCUCUCCGCAGGGACCUGCCCCUGCUCCUAUUCCGGACUCAGACCUCUGACCCUGCAAUGCUGCCUACCAUGAUGGGCCUCCUGGCAGAGGCAGGCGUGCGGCUGCUGUCCUACCAGACUUCACUGGUGUCAGAUGGGGAGACCUGGCACGUCAUGGGCAUCUCCUCCUUGCUGCCCAGCCUGGAAGCGUGGAAGCAGCAUGUGACUGAAGCCUUCCAGUUCCACUUCUAACCUUGGAGCUCACUGGUCCCUGCCUCUGGGGCUUUUCUGAAGAAACCUACCCACUGUGAUCAAUAGGGAGAGAAAAUCCACAUUCUUGGGCUGAACGCGGGCCUCUGACACUGCUUACACUGCACUCUGACCCUGUAGUACAGCAAUAACCGUCUAAUAAA